rnacentral:rRNA from 1 species
GGCAGCAGUGGGGAAUAUUGGACAAUGGGCGAAAGCCUGAUCCAGCCAUGCCGCGUGUGUGAAGAAGGUCUUCGGAUUGUAAAGCACUUUAAGUUGGGAGGAAGGGCAGUAAGUUAAUACCUUGCUGUUUUGACGUUACCGACAGAAUAAGCACCGGCUAACUCUGUGCCAGCAGCCGCG